rnacentral:rRNA from 1 species
UGGGCGUAAGAGCUCGUAGGUCGUUUGUUACGUCGGAUGUGAAAACCUGAGGCUCAACCUCAGGCCUGCAUUCGAUACGGGCAAACUAGAGUUUGGUAGGGGAGACUGGAAUUCCUGGUGUAGCGGUGGAAUGCGCAGAUAUCAGGAGGAACACCAAUGGCGAAGGCAGGUCUCUGGGCCAAUACUGACACUGAGGAGCGAAAGUCUGGGGAGCGAACAGGAUUAGAUACCCUGGUAGUCCAGACCGUAAACGGUGGGCACUAGUUGUGGGAACCUUCCACGGUUUCUGCGACGCAGCUAACGCAUUAAGUGCCCCGCCUGGGGAGUACGAUCGCAAGAUUAAAACUCAAAGGAAUUGACGGGGCCCCGCACAAGCAGCGGAGCAUGCGGCUUAAUUCGACGCAACGCGAAGAACCUUACCAAGGCUUGACAUAUAGGGAAAAGUGGCAGAGAUGUCAUGUCCGCAAGGGCUCUAUACAGGUGGUGCAUGGUUGUCGUCAGCUCGUGUCGUGAGAUGUUGGGUUAAGUCCCGCAACGAGCGCAACCCUCGUUCUGUGUUGCCAGCAUUUAGUUGGGGACUCACAGGAGACUGCCGGGGUUAACUCGGAGGAAGGUGGGGAUGACGUCAAAUCAUCAUGCCCCUUAUGUCUUGGGCUGCACGCAUGCUACAAUGGCCGGUACAGAGGGCUGCAAUACCGCAAGGUGGAGCGAAUCCCAAAAAGCCGGUCUCAGUUCGGAUUGAGGUCUGCAACUCGACCUCAUGAAGCUGGAGUUGCUAGUAAUCGUAGAUCAGCAUCGCUACGGUGAAUACGUUCCCGGGGCUUGUACACACCGCCCGUCACGUCACGAAAGUCGGUAACACCCAAAGUCAGUGGCCCAACCGCAAGGGGGGAGCUGCCUAAGGUGGGAUCGGUG